rnacentral:rRNA from 1 species
CGCUAUCUACAGGCUUAACACAUGCAAGUCGAGGGGCAGCAUGGUCUUAGCUUGCUAAGGCCGAUGGCGACCAGCGCACGGGUGAGUAACGCGCAUCCAACCUGCCUUACACUCUUGGACAGCCUUCUGAAAGGGAGAUUAAUACAAGAUGUUAUCAUGAGUAAGCAUUUUCGCAUGAUUAAAGGUUUACCGGUGUAAGAUGGGGAUGCGUUCCAUUAGAUAGUAGGCGGGGUAACGGCCCACCUAGUCUUCGAUGGAUAGGGGUUCUGAGAGGAAGGUCCCCCACAUUGGAACUGAGACACGGUCCAAACUCCUACGGGAGGCAGCAGUGAGGAAUAUUGGUCAAUGGACGAGAGUCUGAACCAGCCAAGUAGCGUGAAGGAUGAAGGUUCUAUGGAUUGUAAACUUCUUUUAUACGGGAAUAAACGAAUCCACGUGUGGAUUUUUGCAUGUACCGUAUGAAUAAGGAUCGGCUAACUCCGUGCCAGCAGCCGCGGUAAUACGGAGGAUCCGAGCGUUAUCCGGAUUUAUUGGGUUUAAAGGGAGCGUAGAUGGGUUGUUAAGUCAGUUGUGAAAGUUUGCGGCUCAACCGUAAAAUUGCAAUUGAUACUGGCAGUCCUGAGUACAGUUGAGGUAGGCGGAAUUCGUGGUGUAGCGGUGAAAUGCUUAGAUAUCACGAAGAACUCCGAUUGCGAAGGCAGCUUACUAACCUGUAACUGACAUUGAUGCUCGAAAGUGUGGGUAUCAAACAGGAUUAGAUACCCUGGUAGUCCACACGGUAAACGAUGAAUACUCGCUGUAGGCGAUAUACAGUCUGCGGCCAAGCGAAAGCAUUAAGUAUUCCACCUGGGGAGUACGCCGGCAACGGUGAAACUCAAAGGAAUUGACGGGGGCCCGCACAAGCGGAGGAACAUGUGGUUUAAUUCGAUGAUACGCGAGGAACCUUACCCGGGCUUAAAUUGCAACCGAAUAUGGCGGAAACGCUAUAGCUAGCAAUAGCGGUUGUGAAGGUGCUGCAUGGUUGUCGUCAGCUCGUGCCGUGAGGUGUCGGCUUAAGUGCCAUAACGAGCGCAACCCUUGCCGAUAGUUACUAACAGGUCAUGCUGAGGACUCUGUCGGGACUGCCAUCGUAAGAUGUGAGGAAGGUGGGGAUGACGUCAAAUCAGCACGGCCCUUACGUCCGGGGCUACACACGUGUUACAAUGGGGGGUACAGAGGGCUGCUACCACGCAAGUGGAUGCCAAUCCCAAAAACCUCUCUCAGUUCGGAUUGAAGUCUGCAACCCGACUUCAUGAAGCUGGAUUCGCUAGUAAUCGCGCAUCAGCCACGGCGCGGUGAAUACGUUCCCGGGCCUUGUACACACCGCCCGUCAAGCCAUGGGAGCCGGGGGUACCUGAAGUGCGUAACCGCAAGGAGCGCCCUAGGGUAAAACUGGUGACUGGGGCUAAG